rnacentral:rRNA from 1 species
UAUGUGAUCGUCUCUCGCAUAUCAAUAAGCGGAGGAAAAGAAACUAACAAGGAUUCCCCUAGUAACGGCGAGUGAAGCGGGAAGAGCUCAAAUUUGAAAUCUUAAAGGGUUUCCCUUUACGAAUUGUAGUUUAAAGAAGUGUUUUCUGUUGAGGUUUUGGUAAAAGUUCUUUGGAAUAGGACAUCAUAGAGGGUGAGAAUCCCGUAUUUGACCUUUACUUUCAACUUUGUGAUACACUUUCAAAGAGUCGGAUUGUUUGGGAAUGCAGUCCAAAAUGGGUGGUAAAUUUCAUCUAAAGCUAAAUAUUGGCGAGAGACCGAUAGCGAACAAGUACCGUGAGGGAAAGAUGAAAAGAACUUUGAAAAGAGAGUUAAACAGUACGUGAAAUUGUCAAAAGGGAAGCGUUUGACACCAGUGUUGUUUUUCUGAAAAUCAAUUAAAGAACUGUUUAUGCUAAGUUGUUUAGACUUUAUCAGCUAUCUGCUUAGUUUUGAGCUUUUCUUUAAUGCACUUUUCAGUUAACAAGUCAACAUCAAUUUCUUUUGUUGUAAAAGAGUAUUCGGAAGGUGGCUUUCUUUUCGGAGAAAGUGUUUAUAGCCCUAUACUUCUACAAUCGGAGAGAUUGAGGUCUGCAGCGUAGAUCCUUCGGGGUUAGAUACAUUUGUGCUAAGUUGUAGCUUUUCAUAGACAACUUGUUGACUAUGUUUAGUCAUGCGGCUUACUCGCUCAUGCUAUUUUACCUACGCUUAGGAUGUUGACUGAUAUGUAGUCGU